GGAGGAGAGAGGAGAGGAGGAGAGGAGGAGUGGAGAGAAGAUGAGGAGGAGAGGAGAUGAGGAGAGGAGUGGAGAGUCUGUGUUGUACGCUAAGGCCUUUACAAAGGUAUUCAAUACAGUCAAAAACACACAACGAGCAACUUCUACCAGUCCAAUAAAACUACUGGAGAGAAACAGUUUGAUUAUUUUGGUUUCUAUAGAUACUAAAUGUAAGUAAAGACAUGAAGGUCCUCAUACAUCUCUGUUUUGAAGCUCCCACACGUUGUCAUCACAACUUAAAACAAUCAAUGGGGUAAAUCUAAACCACCGAUAGGUUACAUCAACCCCCCCCUCGCCCCCUCCCCUGCAGCGACCACAGACAGAGCGCCAUCUAGGGAGGUACGAAGAAGAAGAGUUGUGUUUAUGACCACCGAUAGAGCGCCAUCUAGGGAGGUACGAAGAACAAGAGUUGUGUUUACGACCACCGAUAGGUUACAUCCACCCCCCUCGCCCCUCCCAUGCAGCGACCACAGACAGAGCGCCAUCUAGGGAGGUACGAAGAAGAAGCCGAAACACAAAAAAAACACGAUUAUUAUUAUUGUUGUUGUUGUUUUUUGUUUACAGAUUUUUUUCCUCUCUCUUGACCACCAUCUGUGGCAAUGAGAGAGAUUGAAACAAGGUCAUAUAUAUAUAUAAAGAGAGAUCAUCAUCACAUUAUUAAUUUUAAAACAUUUUGACGUUGUGACACAGACAGAAUUAAGCCCCUCCUCCCCGUGUCUGUAGUCCUUGUGAUUGGCUACAAUAUGCAUAGAUACAGGGAUCAGCUUUAUGGUUCAGUCCCACUGACGUCACACACACACACACACACACACACACACACACACACACACACACUGGGAGGACAGUGGCGAGGAGGAGGAGGAAGCACGCCGAUUUCUCUACCUUUUCGUAAGACAGCAUUUUUGGGGGGGGGUGAAACCGCUGAGCUCUUCCAAGCAGGUACAAACUAACUCACACAACCAGAAGUCGUUUCAGUGCUAGAAGAUGGAUGCAUCCGACAAGGAGAGAAUCUGGGGAGACACUGGCUCCAUUUCAGGUCUAACCAGAACCACACCAGAACCACGGGUCAGGACACUGACCGACCCCACACCAGAUCUACAGUCCGGACACUGACC
ensembl:lncRNA